rnacentral:rRNA from 1 species
AGAGUUUGAUCCUGGCUCAGAUUGAACGCUGGCGGCAGGCCUAACACAUGCAAGUCGAGCGGUAGCACAGAGAGCUUGCUCUCGGGUGACGAGCGGCGGACGGGUGAGUAAUGUCUGGGAAACUGCCUGAUGGAGGGGGAUAACUACUGGAAACGGUAGCUAAUACCGCAUAACGUCGCAAGACCAAAGUGGGGGACCUUCGGGCCUCAUGCCAUCAGGUGUGCCCAGAUGGGAUUAGCUAGUAGGUGGGGUAACGGCUCACCUAGGCGACGAUCCCUAGCUGGUCUGAGAGGAUGACCAGCCACACUGGAACUGAGACACGGUCCAGACUCCUACGGGAGGCAGCAGUGGGGAAUAUUGCACAAUGGGCGCAAGCCUGAUGCAGCCAUGCCGCGUGUGUGAAGAAGGCCUUCGGGUUGUAAAGCACUUUCAGCGGGGAGGAAGGCGAUAAGGUUAAUAACCUUGUCGAUUGACGUUACCCGCAGAAGAAGCACCGGCUAACUCCGUGCCAGCAGCCGCGGUAAUACGGAGGGUGCAAGCGUUAAUCGGAAUUACUGGGCGUAAAGCGCACGCAGGCGGUCUGUCAAGUCGGAUGUGAAAUCCCCGGGCUUAACCUGGGAACUGCAUUCGAAACUGGCAGGCUAGAGUCUUGUAGAGGGGGGUAGAAUUCCAGGUGUAGCGGUGAAAUGCGUAGAGAUCUGGAGGAAUACCGGUGGCGAAGGCGGCCCCCUGGACAAAGACUGACGCUCAGGUGCGAAAGCGUGGGGAGCAAACAGGAUUAGAUACCCUGGUAGUCCACGCCGUAAACGAUGUCGAUUUGGAGGUUGUGCCCUUGAGGCGUGGCUUCCGGAGCUAACGCGUUAAAUCGACCGCCUGGGGAGUACGGCCGCAAGGUUAAAACUCAAAUGAAUUGACGGGGGCCCGCACAAGCGGUGGAGCAUGUGGUUUAAUUCGAUGCAACGCGAAGAACCUUACCUGGUCUUGACAUCCACAGAACUUUCCAGAGAUGGAUUGGUGCCUUCGGGAACUGUGAGACAGGUGCUGCAUGGCUGUCGUCAGCUCGUGUUGUGAAAUGUUGGGUUAAGUCCCGCAACGAGCGCAACCCUUAUCCUUUGUUGCCAGCGGUCCGGCCGGGAACUCAAAGGAGACUGCCAGUGAUAAACUGGAGGAAGGUGGGGAUGACGUCAAGUCAUCAUGGCCCUUACGACCAGGGCUACACACGUGCUACAAUGGCAUAUACAAAGAGAAGCGACCUCGCGAGAGCAAGCGGACCUCAUAAAGUAUGUCGUAGUCCGGAUUGGAGUCUGCAACUCGACUCCAUGAAGUCGGAAUCGCUAGUAAUCGUAGAUCAGAAUGCUACGGUGAAUACGUUCCCGGGCCUUGUACACACCGCCCGUCACACCAUGGGAGUGGGUUGCA